UACAGAGGUGGCAAGCGUUGUUCGGAAUUACUGGGCGUAAAGGGCGCGUAGGCGGCCUACUAAGUCAGGCGUGAAAUCCCCCGGCUUAACCUGGGAACUGCGUCUGAUACUGGAAGGCUUGAGGAUGGGAGAGGGAUGUAGAAUUCCUGGUGUAGCGGUGAAAUGCGCAGAUAUCAGGAGGAACACCGGUGGCGAAGGCGGGUCUCUGGGCAGCAACUGACGCUGAGGAGCGAAAGCGUGGGGAGCGAACAGG
rnacentral:rRNA from 1 species